rnacentral:rRNA from 1 species
UACGGAAGGGGCUAGCGUUGUUCGGAAUCACUGGGCGUAAAGCGCGCGUAGGCGGCCUUGCAAGUGCGGCGUGAAAGUCCUGGGCUCAACCUGGGGACGGCGCCGCGGACUGUUAUGGCUGGAGUCCGGAAGAGGGUGGUGGAAUUCCGAGUGUAGAGGUGAAAUUCGUAGAUAUUCGGAGGAACACCGGUGGCGAAGGCGGCCACCUGGUCCGGUACUGACGCUGAAGCGCGAAAGCGUGGGGAGCAAACAGG